rnacentral:lncRNA from 1 species
GUGAAGUCACCGCUGUGGAGUCUCCAGCUGAAACCAGUUAAGAGGGACUUCCUGCCCAGUGACCGAUUCCCCGUGCUCAGAGCUCAAUCAUUCUUUGCAAACAGAGGUUUGACUUCACCUCUAUUAUGCAGAUGGAAAAGAGACUGGAGCAUAUUGCAUUUGAGGGAUUUGAAGACAGAAAGACUACACCUUGGAUGCCUCUCCAUGAUGUGGGGCUUUGCUCUCAGACUGGUGAGAGGAAGAAGGCCACAUGGCCCAGAAGUAGCAUGGGCAGAAAUUCAGCUGAGGUCCAUCUGUACCCCAAGUCCAUGCUUGUCUUCACCAUGACAUUCCGUCUGGCUUUGAAGCUGCCUACACAUGGGUACUCAACAAGGCUUCACUAAUUGCUCUCCCAAUGGUCUCAGUUUGCAAUAUCAUCAAUAACGGGAACUAUACAACCUACUGCAUGGGAUUUCUAGGAGGAUUAAGAAAAAUUACCCACAUGGAAAUUUGGCUAAAUAAACAGGAUUGAACUGUAUCCUCUCCAAGGAUGUGUUGAAGUCCUAACCCCCAGGACCUUAGUAUAUGACCUUACUUGGAAGUAGGGGGUUUACAGAGAUAAUAAAAUUGAAAUGAG